AACGAACGCUGGCGGCAGGCCUAACACAUGCAAGUCGAACGUGAAGCCACCUUCGGGUGGUGGAAAGUGGCAGACGGGUGAGUAACGCGUGGGAACGUGCCUUUCGGUUCGGAAUAACCCAGGGAAACUUGGGCUAAUACCGGAUACGCCCUUCGGGGGAAAGAUUCAUCGCCGAAAGAUCGGCCCGCGUCGGAUUAGCUAGUUGGUAGGGUAAUGGCCUACCAAGGCGACGAUCCGUAGCUGGUCUGAGAGGAUGACCAGCCACACUGGGACUGAGACACGGCCCAGACUCCUACGGGAGGCAGCAGUGGGGAAUCUUGGACAAUGGGCGAAAGCCUGAUCCAGCCAUGCCGCGUGGGUGAAGAAGGCCUUAGGGUUGUAAACCCCUUUCAGCGGGGAAGAUAAUGACGGUACCCGCAGAAGAAGCCCCGGCUAACUCCGUGCCAGCCGCCGCCGUAACAC
rnacentral:rRNA from 1 species